rnacentral:tRNA from 1 species
GGACCUGUGGCCUAGUCUGGAUCGGGCAACUGCCUCCUAAGCAGUGGAUCGGGGGUUCAAAUCCUCCCAGGUCCG